AACGAACGCUGGCGGCAGGCCUAACACAUGCAAGUCGAACGCCGUAGCAAUACGGUAGUGGCAGACGGGUGAGUAACGCGUGGGAACAUACCCCUCGGUUCGGAAUAACUCAGGGAAACUUGAGCUAAUACCGGAUACGGUCCGAGGUUUUGAUCGACCUUGGUAGAAAGAUUUAUCGCCGAAGGAUUGGCCCGCGUCUAGAUUUAGCUUGUUGGUGAGGUAAUGGCUCACCAAGGCGACGAUCAGUAGCUGGUCUGAGAGGAUGAUCAGCCACA
rnacentral:rRNA from 1 species